GUCCCAGCACGUCAUAAAAAUGGCAACGCCUGAGCUUCAAGUCUGCACAACAUGUCACGUCAAGAACCUGCUACGGGUGGAGCGCAGCUUGAACUUGGCUGCUAGAGGCCAUCCGUGCCCUCGUGCUCAAGCAUUAUUCGAGCGCUGACGUAGUGUGCGUACAUACUUCUGCGUAUGUUUGACGUUAUCACCGACGGCGUCUUCAAGGUGGACGUGCUACUGACAUUGCAUCGACUCUAAAAACUCUUACCGCUGCCGGGACUAGCAACUUGGAGCUCGUGUCCAAAGUGUUUCAUCGCCAAAACCUUCUCGAGUACCACCACAGGGAUGAGCAUUGCUGCGAGCUUCAACAGCGGCAUCAAAAAAAAAAAAAAUAGCAGGUGAACCCACUAACAAGAUUUUGCAGGGGUACGUCGGGGGUCUUUCCCAUGAC